rnacentral:rRNA from 1 species
GAUGAACGCUAGCGACAGGCUUAACACAUGCAAGUCGAGGGGCAGCGGGGAGCAGCAAUGCUCUGCCGGCGACCGGCGGACGGGUGAGUAACGCGUAUGCAACCAACCUACCAGCGGGGGAUAAUCCACCGAAAGGUGGUCUAAGACCGCAUAAGACAGGGGCACCGCAUGGUGCUAUUUGUUAAAGGGAACACUGGUAGACGGGCAUGCGUUCCAUUAGGCAGUUGGAGGGGUAACGGCCCACCAAACCGACGAUGGAUAGGGGGUUCUGAGAGGAAGGUCCCCCCACAUUGGUACUGAGACACGGACCAAACUCCUACGGGAGGCAGCAGUGAGGAAUAUUGGUCAAUGGGCGGAAGCCUGAACCAGCCAAGUCGCGUGAAGGAAGAAGGAUCUAUGGUUUGUAAACUUCUUUUGAAGGGGGAUAAAGUGCGUCACGAGUGAUGCAUUGCAGGUACCCUUGGAAUAAGCAUCGGCUAACUCCGUGCCAGCAGCCGCGGUAAAGUAGACGU